UACGUAGGAGACGAGCGUUGUCCGGAGUUACUGGGCGUAAAGGGUGCGCAGGCGGCCCUGCGCGUCGCGAGUGAAAUCUCCCGGCUCAACUGGGAGGGUGGUCGCGAGACGGCAGGGCUUGAGGCUCGGUGAGGGGCGUGGAAUUCCGGGUGGAGCGGUGAAAUGCGUAGAGAUCCGGAGGAACACCGACGGCGUAGGCAGCGCCCUGGCUGUGAAUAAAGCUGACACUGAGGCACGAAAGCUGGGGGGAGCAAACAGG
rnacentral:rRNA from 1 species